CUCGAUUACAAAAACUGACAACACGGAACAAAGUCCUGGCUUUAGUCCAUUUUUAUUUCAAAUACAACACCAACAGGGUCUUAAAUCCUGAUGAUUAUGACCAGAAAAACAUUACAGUAUGGGCUACAGUAGCAUUACCACGUCUGCAAAGCACAACCUCUCAGCAAUACUCCGAUUCAACCCUCUGCACUAACAUGAAGCCACUGCCAGUCGGUCUAUUAGAGCCUCUCAGAGCUCUCUCAGGAUCAUAUGAUAAAAGCCAAUCUGAUAAAUGGGUUGGUGCAAGAUCAAUUAGUGUGAUGUGGGCUCUCUUUCUGGUCUUAGUCAGCAUUCUUGCAGGUGACUUUUGGAGUAGCUGAAGCUGAGAAAUCUUCUCUUUUAGGAAGAUGUCAACAAUACUGAGUCACAAAGAAAAUCUUUCCCUGGGAUAAUCAGGCAGAGAUCUGGACAGAGUAAAUGUGUUUGUUUUUGUAAUGUCAAAGUAAAAUGGUGUCCCCUUCUACAAUGAAAAAAGUCUAUUUAUUUAAAAUUUACAAGUGUGUCCCUGAUAGGACUGAGGAGAAACUUCAUGCUGGAUGAGCAAGUCACCACUGUUAAUUAACCGUACAUCUCUCUUAAAUGUUGCAUUCAUAGUAAGUAUGUUAUGGUUUUUAAUUUAUUGAAAACAUCGUGAUAAUUUUCCCUUUGGUUAAUUAAGUGUACGGUUUAAUGUGAAUGUUUUUGUCUCUUUUUCUUGAUCAGUAAAAAAAAACAACAAAAAAACAAAACAAAACAAAACAAAACAAAACAGCUACACUGCCACCAAGCUACUGAGAAAUAUAGCCAAACUAAUAAUGCCAAUGUUUGUGACACUGUAACUGCAAAACACUGCUGAAAAUUGUUGCUGAACAGUAGUUUACACAAGACUAAAAGUCAGAGGAGAAAUAUGUCCCAAAAGCACAACAAAGAUUUUAAUGGGUUGCUGUUGAUAUCAUGCUGUUGCACGAUAUUGGAAAAACCUAACAUUGCAACUUUUUUCAACACUACGAUAUAUAUUGCGAUAUUAAAAAAAUAGAGGAAUUUUCACCAGAUUACCUGAAUAGCACUUUAUGUUGUGCUGCACUGCUGAAAUUUUAAGGACAGUAAAACUGCACUUAUCUUACCCCUUUUUUUAAAUGUUAGUAGAAUGGCUUCUGUCUGUCUCAGAGAUAUUUUUAGCUUUUAUUGUGCUGGGACGUUAUUGUGGCAACAGAUGAAAGGCACUGCCGACACAGAAAAGGUGUUUGGUGACGCCGUCCUUCUAGUAACAGAAAUAAUUGCAGAUAAGUGACUUUGCUUUUCUUUUUGCCGACAAGAUCUUCGGUGGUAAGUGACGUUGCUUUUCUUUUUGCCGACAAGAUCUUCGGUGGUAAGUGACGUUGCAUUUCUUUUUGCCGACAAGAUCUUCGGCGGUAAGUGACGUUGCUUUUCUUUUUGCCGACAAGAUCUUCGGUGGUAAGUGACGUUGCAUUUCUUUUUGCCGACAAGAUCUUCGGCGGUAAGUGACGUUGCUUUUCUUUUUGCCAACAAGAUCUUCGGCGGUAAGUGACGUUGCUUUCCUUCUUGCCGACAAGUCUUCAUCUUUGACGGUAAGUGACAUUGCUUUUUGUUCUUGCCGACAAGUCUUCAUUUUCGGUUCUUUUUGUUCGUUUCUUAUUUUGGAAUCGUUGUUGUUGUAACCGGUGUUGUGCGGAGAAUUAAACGCACGUCAGCCUGCAUGCACAUCGCAAAACGCGCACCGCUCAUAGUAGAAUGGUUUACGAAAAUGUACAAUUUAAAACCUAUAGGAUUCUUACUUGUUGGGCAAAACAGUAAUAAGUAACGUUCCAAAAUUAAUUCUCGGUACACGCACCAGCACCAGCGACUCGCUCCAUGUGCAGGCCAUUUGCAGGGGCGCGGUUUCCUUCUCGCUGAUUUUGAUUGAUGGCUAAAAGCGUAGUCUGAUUGGCAGCUGAGUAACGAAUGAAUCUGAUUGGUGGAUCGCUGCACAGCACAUGCAGAGUCACAUGCAGUGUAUCUCAGUCAGCAACCCUUGAAAUUAGAGGAGUUCUUUCGCCUUCGACAUCAUAGGCUCUGCAAUGCCACUAUCGUGCAUAAGUACAUCUUGAUAACGAUGCUCAAACGAUAUGUGGUGCUGCCCUAGUUGCUGUAAGAACAGCAGACAUACGGGUUUAUCUAAGUAUGCACAGCGCAGGUUGAGGCUGCCAUUAUCUAGGAGACAAACUAAACCAUGGCAGCAGGGGGUAGAGCAGUUGGCCAAUAAUUGGAAGGUUGGUGGUUCAAUUCCCCACUAUCCCUAGUCUGUCCUGUCCUUGGGCAAGACUCUUAACCCACCUUUCACCCAGUGGGUGUCCCCUACUUGUGUAUAAAUGUGAAUGUUGUGGUGGUGGUCGGAGAGACCAUAGGCGCACACUGGCAGCUACCUUUCCAUCAGUCUGCCCCAGGGUGGCUGUGACUACAAGGGUCGUUUACCACCACCAGUCUAUGACUGUAUGGGUGAAUGAAUAAUGUAUCCAAUGUAAGGCACUUUCAGGUCACUGACAUAAAGCGCUAUAAAAAUCUGAUGCAUUAUUAUUAUUAAACCUUCAUCAUGACUAUUUCAAAAUUUGCAAUAUUACAAUCACUGUUGGGUCGGAUGUAAGCAAGAGAACUUCAUGUCUAAGUGCCUGAAUUAGAUCCCCCAAUCUGAGUUAACUGUUAUCAACAGGUGUAACUUAGUCUAUGUAAUAUUUAGGUGGCCACACUUUCGGUGCAUUUGUCAGUCAGGUAUUUUAUCAGCAGUUCAGCUUUAAAUGUAAGAAUAAUUCUGAUAAGAAAGUUCUGAGUACAAAGUUUUGGUCAUCUUUAUAAAAAUAAUAAGACUUUCCAGAGGACGAUGACAAAAAUGUGUCCUCCCACGUCCUUUCUACUACCAUCCUCUUGAGAUGGUGGAAGAUCUUUGCAUUUUACCUCUGGAGCUCAGAGGAAGGAUGCACCGGUGGAUCUUCUGCAGAAGUCUGUAAACCAAAAAGAGACAUGAUCAUUAUUACUUUUUCACACAGCUAAUACUCACAGUCCAAAUCUACAGAAAACACUACUGCAACAAUUUUACUAAAGCCUGUACGCUGACCUUCCCUGAGCUCCAGGUCUUCCACCGCCUUGGUCACCCUUGGAGUGAACCUCUUAUGAUGCCACCAACAGAUGAUCAACAUAGCUAAAAGACAAAUCAAGAACACGUGAGGUUUAUUCAAAAUAGGAAAUAGAUAUUAUUCGUAUUUAGGUUUGACUGUUUUUCAUUUAAAACUAGUGUUGAAAUAAGUUUAAUCACUCGGUCCCACUGUGAGUACUCACCUAGAAUAAUGAAAGGUAUUAUCAGAAGGCGUAGCAGCAUCACAGUAUAGGUAUGUAAUGAAAAUUUAAGGUUUACUGUUUGGCCUCCAUACUGUAUCUGUCAAAAAGAAAUGUAUUUAUUUUUUGGGGAUUGUAAAUAAGUUUAGAGACAACUAAGUGAAGAAUUGUUUGCUUCUAAAUUCACUAUUUUCAUUUUCGUUUUACACAGUAUUUCUGGCAUAUUGUGUCUUAAAGAUUUACCAUCAGCUCCUCAAAUGUAUCAGUAACAUCUUGUGUGUUUUGAAUCUCACAGAGGAUUAAAUCCAUCUUCUCAGGCAUAUUUGUCAUGAUGCAGGGGUACUUCUUUCCCUCAUGAACACCCCACACAGACAACUCUGCUUUGGUCAUCUCCAGUUUAUCUUCCUUUUUCUGAAAUCAAAACAUAGACAAAUGCUGAUCAUUUAUGCAUUCAUGUCCUAUAUUUGUACAUGUGUGCAUAAAGUCUACCUGUAUAGUGAUGUGGACACUGUCUCCUGCUUUUGUGGAUGUGAAGCUUGUAAACUCAGGGUCUGGGUAGUAGGUUAUUUUUGUGGGACAGAUCAAGCUCUUAUUGGCUACUUUCAGGGUCAGAGUGCUGGAAAAAGCCGCAUGAGCAUUUUCAGCUGCAGGUGAGUCAUAGGUGAGAGUCUUUAGCCCCUGUAAAAACAAUUCUGUGUUACAAUCACUGUAAAGUCUUUAUAGUGUUUCAUGAUAUGACAUUGUGGAGCUUGUAAACUCAGCGAACCUGCAGUCAUGUCACUAUGAUGAUAAACUAUAAAAACUGGGACUGUCAAAGUUGAUGCGUUAAAGACAAUUUCUCUUUGCGUCAAAAAAUUUCUGAGGCAUGAAUAAUAGACAUAUGUUCUGUUAUAUUUGUUGUACAAGCCCUGAUAUGACCUCAGGCCUGCAGGAACAGUCUUUUAAAUGUAAUGUAACUGCAGUACCGACUAGAACCGCUAGAUGGAGGCUCUCUGAUUUCAUAUGAGACUCCAUGUUGUGCUACUCUCACCACAGACUGCAGUUUAUGCCAGUUUAUGCCUUUUUCUUUCUGCUUGUGUUUGACCUCUGAAUAUUAUUUUAUUUCAUGUUAAAUUCUCGAGAAAAAACUGCCAUGAGGCUCUCUAACUGUUGUCUAUGAUAGGCUAAUGUUGAUGCUAAUGCUCAAGAUUGUAAAAUUUGUAAAUGCACUAUUGUGCAGCAUGUCAUGGUUAUCAAAGUAUGACAGGAUAUUGUCUGUUUCCAUAGAUUCACCUGGUUAUUGUCGUUUCCUGCCAGUCUGACCUCCUGCAGGACUUCGCUGUGUAUGACCGCUUCUACAAACUCCAGGUGGGAUCCACUGAUUGUGAUCUUUCUUUUCCCACUACAGGACACAUACCAGCAUACAAUCAAAUGAAAACAAACAUUUUCACACUCUGGAUAUCAGAGAAUGUAUAAUGUGUUAAACACACAACAGUGGCUAACACUUCAAUAUCAGGAUUACCUACAAAUGCAAAUAACAGUGUAAUUCUUUCAGUCAUUGCCCUAAAGAAAAGAGCUACAGAUGUAACGUCAGGUAUGACUAGGGGUGUCAUCUGAGUAUUUCUUCUCACGGAGUCUUCAUGCACCUUGAAGAUCCUCAAAGAUUCUCAUUGAUUACUAAGACCUUUGGCAGUCAUCAGACCAGAUUAGACCAGCAGCAGAUCCUAAAAACUUUCACCUGGUCUGAUCAACUUGAAAUGUUUGUUCUUGCACCUGUACGAUGUUUUAUAUGAAAAUAUAAAAAGGCCUCUGUAGUGGGAUCAGCCCCUCCCAGAAUCUCCUGUUAUGUUUGCUUGGUAACUUUUCAUUUGUACCACUGGGUAUUACUAAAGCAGAAUCUGCACUGCCUCCUUGCCAAGUCAUUGCAAAGUUUUUUUUUUUUUUGUCAUUAAACUCCAUCAGUCUUAUCCUCAGAAAAGUCUAGUUUAUCAAAGUCUACAUGUUAAUAUUUUUAUAGUUUCUAUAGUCCUAAAACAGUCAUACCUGAACCAGGUGCUUUCAGGUGAAAUGCUGGGGCAGGAUGGUGCUGAGCGAUAGGUGAUAAAUGUGUUACCAUGGCAACUACCAUCUGGAAGGAGAGCACAUACUUUGGCCACACCUUUAAAUUUCGCACUGGGUAUGUGGAACGUCAGAGUUUCACCAGUGUUGCUCCAAACAGGAGACCUAACCAGAGUGCACAGAGUGAGACAAAGACAAACUGAAGCAGUGAGAUUCAUAAAAAACAUUUUAUAAUAUGUAAAAUUCAGUUAUUGGAGUCCAACGUUUUAAUACACCCAUAACCUGACUCACUCUUGUGGUGUGAAGUCCAGGUCUGCCUGGAUCCUCACUCUGAUCACAGAACUGAGGUUACUACCAGACAACACUGCAUGGUUUUUGCCGUGGAAAGACACAACACUGGGAGUGAUAGAGGAUAUCUGUGGUCUCUGACAGUCAAACCAACAAAAGGUAACAGUUUUAUUUAGAUUUUAUACACUACCACCUGCUAAUAUUUGGAUUUCCUGAAUGUGAAUGAGGUCUGCAAGCAAAAAUGGUGGACUCACGGGGAAGUCCAUGAAUGACUUCAUCAUUUGGCAAACACUGUCCUGCAGAAAGAGCAGUGAGGAGUAAGUUCAGUGGCUUGAGAGAGAAAUAGUCAUAAAACUAUAAUAGUGUCUUCAGUUGUCUUAAAAAUAUUCAACCAGGUAUCAUGCAGUCUUUAACUGUCCAUGUUUCAAACAUGCUGACAUGCUGUUGUCACAUUUUGCAUAGAGUUAGCUGAAUAUACUAAUAAGCAACAGCAGGGUAGAGACAUGCCAUCAGCUUCAGCCUUGUGCUACAAAGUGUCCUGCUAUAUCUUGUGCCCCCUAUGAUCUGAACUAAACCAAACCCAGGCAGAGAAAAGAAAAAGCAGCAACCGCUGGCAUCUUAUUAUGAAGCCAGAUCAGAAGUGUUAAAAACUGCAGUUCCUCAAGUGUCUACUAGAAGCUGGCUUAAAAAAAGUCCAUGAAAUUCCUUUAACACCUGUGUUAAUAUGUAGGUGGGUAUGACCACCUCAGCUUCACCUCUUCAUCUAUGGUAUAAAUAUGCUAGGUUAGGGUCAUUGGAUCAGUCCUGUUGUACUUUAGGUAUCUUUCCAUGAAAAUGAAAUUUUUCUUGUAUUUGUUAGUUGCUAAGUGCUGCACAGAACUCCGCGUACAGUGAGCUGGAUCUUUGUACAUAACACAAGACAAAGUAUGGUCAAGAUUUGCUCCUUUGAAAAAUGUCUUGAGAUAACGGCAAAUAAUAUCAUGAAUAUAAACAAAAGAUUGACUGAUUGGUUAUUCUCAAAAGUGACUUUUUCUUUUACUAGUAAAGAAAUACACAACUACUACUGCUGCUACUUCUUAUUAGUGGUGGUAGUCAAAGUAGUACUGCUGAUAUUGUUGAAUUAUAGUUUAAAGUGGCAUUUUAUCUAAACCAAGUAAAAGCCAUUUUUAUACUAGUGAAUAAAAACAUGCAUAAUUACAUUCCUGACGCCUUGAUUUCCCCAAAAACAGCCGCUUGCGGUCCAGGCACAUCCAGCAUUAAUACACUUUUGGCACCUGAAAGCAAAACAGUUUUUACAUGACGAGUUUACAUGAAGUUUUUGAGCAGCAGCAUCAUCAUUUGGUCGAGUUCAAGUACAAUUUUUUGAGUUGGAAAUCUCAGUGAACUACUCUGUGGACUUUCAUGCAGGAUGUCAAAAGAUCCCACCUGUGUUCAUGUGCUAAUAAACUCUGAGAAAACCUUGAAUGAAUGAAUGAUUCCUAAUUGGUCUCAUCACAGAUGGGAACACCUUGUAAGCAUUUGUUUUUAAAGGUACUUUAAAAAUAAGGUUUACAUAUUAACUAUUAUUAUGAGAUAAAAUAAGAUAGCAACGCAGACAUGUGGUCAACAAGUAAGAAUACAAUUAAAGAAAGAGGGGAAACACUGCAAUCCACAAAAUUAAAAAUGAAAAUGAAAACACAAUAAGGUGUGUGUGUGUGCGUGUGUGUGUGCGUGCGUGUGUGUGUGUGUGUGUGUGUGUGAGAGAGAGAGAGAGAGAGAGAGAGAGGAGAGAGAGAGAGAGAGAGAGAGAGAGAGAGAGAGAGAGAGAGAGAGUGUGGAGGGGUAGUGUGGUGACAGUCUGUAUUUGUUUUGCACCUUGUAUUACAUGAAACCAGAUUUUGUUCUCUUGAUAGCUCUCCCAGUCUGGUCAAAAUAAGGACUUUAGAUUAGUAGAAAACAGUGGAGGACUUACAGGACAGGUGUUGAUGGUUCUCUGAUGUCCGUACAGUUGAGCAGGUUCAGCCUCUCAGUCAACUGUGAUGAACCAAGUCUGAUCUUUACAACAAUAGGCAGUCCUUUUUUAAUGAAAAAAAUCUGUGAGUAUUACAAUUUUUAUCAUUUUUGAAAAUUUGACAGAAUUUUAAGAUCUCUGACAUGAUAUAGAUUCAUUAAAUAUGAGACCUUUAUAUUAAAAUAAUUUUUAUUAUAUUAUUAUUAUCUAUCAUGACUGACCUCCAGCAGGAAGUGUGCUUGAUUCAAGGGUGGAAGAACAAUGUGGAAAAUGUGGACGCUGAAUUUUCAUUUCAAAGUGCUCAGUGGAACUUGUAGAGAAGUGACAGGCAAAGUUAGAGAGCGCCAUUUUGCCCCCUGUCACAUGCACGUGGAGUUUAAGUUUGAUCUGAAACAUAUCCAGAUUGGAGUAAAUAAACAAUCGACUAUCAGAGAGCCACAACUCAUCAUAGCUCAGAACCUAACCCUAAUCUCUACCUGUCCAGUCUGGUCCUGCGUAACUUGAUAGGAAACCAUUUUGUGCUGAGAAUCAUCAGGAAUGGACAACCAGUCUGAGCCUUGGCAGUUUUCUUCAAAUGUACAGCUAGGAGAAGAAAAAAGGUAAGUCUAAUCCAAGUUUUAAAUUCCUUCACUGAUGUUCACUGCAGAUGAUGUUUCUAACCUGUUUUCAGGGCCACACCAGACACAGUAUGGAUCCUGUGCAGACCAACAAUCCUGCAGAGUUUUGUAUGUGCUGCACUUUGAUACAGGAACAUGAUUGAUCUAAAUAAAUAAAGAAGAAACUGAUCAAUGUGGCAAUAAUUUAAAAUACAGAAAACAUGUGUUAAAGAUUAGCAAAAAAAAAAAAAGCCAGAAUAUCUUCAUGUAUUUCAAUUUUCAUCACAUCUUUUGUUUGAUAUAUAAAUACAACAUUACCUGGUUUUGAAAUGGCACAUACACAUGUUUCAGAUCCACCUGAUCCAGAUGUAGUUUUGAAAACACUUUAUGGUCACUGCUAGUUUUGUAGAGCACUUUGGGACAGGUGGUCUGGUAGUUCUUGUUCACAGCAAGCUGAAAACAAAAACGCAGUUUCGUUAUGUUUUUCAGAGACUGAGUAGCUACACACGUUUAGCAACACUUGAGUCUGUGGUAUUCAAGAGCCUCCACUGUGGUAAAACAUGUUCCAAACAUCCUUCAGACAUGUUUUUGAAUCAUUUUUUCCUUUGCUUUUUUUAAAUUCUGUUUUGAAGUGCAGUUUUAUGAGGUACUUGAUGGAAGAUGGAAGCAUGAAAUGCUCUACAAUCUCCUGGUAGACUGUUUAGUUGACUUUGGAGUUGAUAAAACACAGUAAGUUAACAGUAACAGAUAACAUCCCUUACCAAAAAAAAGUUCACCUCAAGUAUAUUUUAUGAAGUAUACUGAAGUUCAUUCUAGUAUACUUCCCAAAGUAUACUUUGUACACUGAUACAAAUAUACUACCAGUGUACCAGUGUACCUGUGUAAUAAGUAAAAUUCUUGGAACUAAAUUGGCCCAAUUUAGUAUGUAUAAGUACAUUUGAAGCAUAAUUAAUGUUAACUUCCUGGUAUACUAUUAGUUUACCAGUAAUAAACUUCUAGUCCCCUUUUUAGUUUAUAAAUGUACACUCUGAAGCAUACCUUUAUUUAUUUAUACCUUUUAUAUACUUAGUAUAAUUCUUAGUACAAGCCAAGUAUACUUAACAUUAACUGUUAAGGAUAUCUCUGAAAAGUCCAUCAAAAGUAAACUGAAAGCAUACUAAGUUUAAAAAGAGUAUACUUGAAGUACACUUCAACAUACUUCUUUUGGUGAGGGAUUGCACCACAAAUUAUCACAGACAGCAGAAACUUGAUGCUGGACUUCGAUUUGUUUAGACUCUGUGUUUCCCCACUCUUCCUUCAGACUCAAGGAUCUUGAUCCCCAAAUGAGAUACAACAUCUGACUUAGAUUUUUUAAAGGACUCUGGACAUAGGUGGCCAUAUCUGUUGCACAACUAUAACACAUUUGACUUUCCACUGAUACACUAUUUAUAGAGCUGUGAGAACAGUCCGCCUUGUCAGCAACUAUCUUCUGUGGCGUACCUUCCAUGGUGAAGGUGCGACAUCGACAACCUCCCCCACCAUGAUUGUGGCUGACUGCAAUGAACUAGACUGAAAGCUACACGAUCAUUGCUGAGGUGAACAAAAAGUAUGCUUGAGUUCAUUUAACUCCUGGUGGACCGGACACAUUCUUUUUGUGUUAAACUAGGUGCAUAUUGGGUGUGUUCCUUUAGAAAACUUUUAGUAUGUUAAACGUUCUUAAAGAAAGGCUGAAGUUCAGCUUUGAGCUUUUUCAAUAUACUUAAAUGUAUUCCUGCUCUCACGGAUCAACUGAAACCAUUUUGAACCGUAUUAUGCUUGCACUGCUUUAAAAGUACUUUUACUUUUUACGAUUCUUUAUAUGCCUGUUCUAUCUCUGUGUGUUUUCAGUGUCAUAAAGGUGAGUUUCCUGCACACUUCCAAUAGGAAAAGGUCCAGAUGGUAAUUCAAGUCCAGUGCACGGGAAAAAGUAACUAAAGUCUUUUACUAUUAUGCUAUGACAGAACAUUUUGUACAAUAAUCAAUUGUUUUUAAUGCACACUUGUAGCUCAUUAUUUGUGCUUUGAAAAUAUACUUUAAGCCAAGUAAGAUGUGUUCUCAGUGUUUGGAUUUAAUAUUUAAAAGUUAAAUUUGACAUCAAUUUCUUUUAGCUAAAUUUUCACCAUAAAACUGAAUAUGAAAAAGUUCAAAGAUAUUGUCCAUAAUGUGAUAAAAGAAGUGUCUUUAAAAUUAACACCAUGUUUUGAAUUACUGAGAGCAGGAAAUGUUUCAGAAAUUUUCAGCCCGCGCAGCUGCCUGACUGGCCCUCAAAUUAGCUGAACAGCUGUACAAAAUAUGCACACCGUCCUAUGAAAAUCACUUAUUAUCACUUAUUAUUUAUGCAACAUUGAGGACUCUGUUGCAGCAUUUUAUAAAGCAAAACAGGUUUUAUAUCAAAACUCACUUCACAUCCCUUCACUGGUUUCAUCUUAUUUAAGUUACUGAUCAGAGGUUCAUCCACAACGCUGCGUAUCAGGACAAUGCAAAUGUAUUAUUCCUACAUUUAAAAAAAAAAAAAAAAAAAUUUAAUUUGAUAUACUUUUAGACAGCAACAAUAAUGUUCAAACCAAAAAAUAAAUGGUGUGGAAAAGAGCGGUCGCUGACGAGCAUUCAUCACCAUAAUUUUAGUUAAGAGAAUGAACAGCCUACUGCUGUAGAGUCGGGGUGAUAAAAAGCUGGUUAGUCUUAGCUCAAAGCAGCUGUCCCCAUGCUGCAUGUCCCUUUGUACACUCACCUUAAUAAGCUGUCCAUCUCCUGUCCCAAUGAAAAAAACUAUCCAGGCCUUUUGUCUCACUGCCAGCACAGAGGUCAUGUAGUUCCGUCUUAAGAUCACCGUCUUUGGCUUCAGUGUCUUUGGCUGAGAAACACAAUAAAUUCAUAAUUAGUAUUUCUGUAUUGUUAACGGGUAAAGUGUUGAUGUAAAGGUGAUGAAUUAUACUUUGGCUCCAACUCUAAACCUGCCUCAUAAACGGACUCAUUAUCUUUUAUGGAACUUCAUGAACUGAAUUGAUUGUUUAAUAAGUUCAGCUUCAGUUAAACUUAGUUCCUAAAACAAAACAAAAAAAUAUAUAAAAAAUGUCAGGAGACACAAGACUGCACUUUGAAGUUUGAAUGCUUUUGAUUUUCUACUAAUUUUAAACAAUUUUAGAAUUGAGCUGAAACCUCCCUGGGAGAAAAAAAAACUCUUUAUUCAAGUGAUAUAAUCUUAUUUUCUUUUAGAGAGCUGUUUUAAAAUGGAUUAACUCUUUAAGUGCUCAUUAAAGCAACAUAAUUUGACGACCACCCACCGUUGGUCUGUUCCUGGCACCACAGUCAGAGCAGAAGUCCGGGUCCACAUCGGUCCUUCCACUAAGAUCAGGACUGAUGUCAAACACCACCAGCUCGGUGUUUGUUUGUCCUUCGCCCACACUGAACACACCGCUCCAGAGCACCGGCGGACCGCCAGGGAUCACCGAGGAGGCGAUCAGUCUGCGGUCUUCACCUCCAUCAGAGACACUGAGGGUCGCGCCCCGCAACGACUGAACAGUUUUAAGUUUACCUCCUUUGCCAACAACCCAAAGCAGACGGACUUUGUUGCUUUCAUAUUUUGAGGGCAGAUUGGAGAAAAGAUAAAUGAUGGAGUUAAUCUGAAAUCCAUCCACAAACUCCCCAUCGUCCUCAAGUUCGAUCACAGGAUUUCUGUCCUCGCUGUUAACAGAAAAUAUUUGUCCUAUCUGAUCGUUAUUGGUGUUAUGAAGGCUCACUGCAUCUGACGCAGAGGGACAGAUGCCCUUUUUCGGUUCGUCUUUGUAUUGCUGAACAGCAGCCACAAUGUAAGUCUCUGUCCGGGUUUGAGUCUCCACAUUCACCAGGAAACUCACGGACGCGCUGCUGCGCCACAGAGACCCCACCUGGAUGAGUUCCCGGUACAGCACGUUGGAAAUGUUCUUCAAGUCCAGCAGCUCACAGUAACCACACCCGUUAUCAGUCACACCACAUGUUAUCAGAUUGUUAUCAGCGACAAGCGGCGACAACACGUUGACACUGAAAGUUGCGUUAAACUUAUCCGUGCCAGAAACUCGCUUGAACUGCGCGUCAGUCGGCCGAAGAGCGUCUUCCAAGAUCCCCCUCUGGGUCAGACUCUGGACCAGAGUCAGGUCGUGACUCAGCUGGUACAGCAUCUCUUCAGUGGCGAUAUAAAUCGUGCCAUUGGUUACGGCGUAGUGGCGGAUGUCUCCCUCGAAGUGGAACCCUCCGUCCUCCUCCAGACACAGACCUGUUCCUCCCCAGAGAAUGAACAACAGAGCAGACAGCAGGAGCAUCUUCGUGCAGAGACGGCAAACCAUCACUCAUUCUCUGAUGGCUCACAGGAGCCUCUGCUGACCUAAAGCGGCUCUGGAUUCGUGCGUAAAAGCUGAAUAGAGAAGUGCAGACAGUGGGAGGGCGUGCGCGGAACGAAACCGAACACAGAUACUUCUGAGACUGUUGAGGUGUUUAGCACUUUAACCACAUUUCCCCGAAGCGUCACGAAGUUAAACCACAGUUCGUGUAAGUGGGUAGAGCGCACAUAACAGGAUGUGAUCUGUUUGCUCGAUUACAAAAACUGACAACACGGAACAAAGUCCUGGCUUUAGUCCAUUUUUAUUUCAAAUACAACACCAACAGGGUCUUAAAUCCUGAUGAUUAUGACCAGAAAAACAUUACAGUAUGGGCUACAGUAGCACUACCACGUCUGCAAAGCACAACCUCUUAGCAAUACUCAGAUUCAACCCUCUGCACUAACAUGAAGCCUCUGCCAGUCGGUCUAUUAGAGCCUCUCAGAGCUCUCUCAGGAUCGUAUGAUAAAAGCUAAUCUGAUAAAUGGGUUGGUGCAAGAUCAAUUAGUGUGAUGUAGACUCUCUUUCUGGUCUUAGUCAGCAUUCUUGCAGGUGAGUUUUGGAGUAGCUGAAGCUGAGAAAUCUUCUCUUUUAGGAAGAUGUCAACAAUACUGAGUCACAAAGAAAAUCUAAAAAAUAUAUAGCCAAACUAAUAAUGCCAAUGUUUGUGACACUAUAACUGCAAAACACUGAUGAAAAUUGUUGCUGAACAGGAGUUUACACAAGAUUAAAAGUUAGAGGAGAAAUAUGUCCCCAAAGCACAACAAAGAUUAUAAUCGGUUGCUGUUGAUAUCAUGCUGUUGCACGAUAUUGGAAAAACCUAACAUGGCAACUUUUUUCAACACUACGAUAUAUAUAG